AGUUAUAUGCUUGUCUCAAAGAUUAAGCCAUGCAUGUCUAAGUACACACGAAUUAAAUGUGAAACCGCAAAAGGCUCAUUAUAUCAGUUAUGGUUCCUUAGAUCGUUAACAGUUACUUGGAUAACUGUGGUAAUUCUAGAGCUAAUACAUGCAAUAUAAACACGGACCUUUUGGCACGUGUGCUUUUAUUAGGCUAAAACCAAGCGAUCGCAAGAUCGUUAUUAUGGUUGAACUCUAGAUAACUUGCAGAUCGCAUGGUCUCGUACCGGCGACAGAUCUUUCAAAUGUCUGCCCUAUCAACUUUUGAUGGUAGUAUCUAGGACUACCAUGGUUGCAACGGGUAACGGGGAAUCAGGGUUCGAUUCCGGAGAGGGAGCCUGAGAAACGGCUACCACAUCUAAGGAAGGCAGCAGGCGCGUAAAUUACCCACUCCCAGCUCGGGGAGGUAGUGACGAAAAAUAACAAUACAGGACUCAUAUUAGAGGCCCUGUAAUUGGAAUGAGUACACUUUAAAUCCUUUAACAAGGACCUAUUGGAGGGCAAGUCUGGUGCCAGCAGCCGCGGUAACUCCAGCUCCAAUAGCGUAUAUUAAAGUUGUUGCGGUUAAAACGUUCGUAGUUGAACUUGUGCUUCAUACGGGUAGUACAACUAUAAUUGUAGUUUGUACUAUACCUUAUGUAUGUAAGCGUAUUACCGGUGGAGUGCUUAUAUGUAUUAGAUACUUGUAUUUAUGCAUGUUCCUCCUAUUUAAACCUGCUUCAGUGCUCUUCAUCGAGUGUUGUUGUGGGCCGGUACAAUUACUUUGAACAAAUUAGAGUGCUUAAAGCAGGCUCCAAAUGCCUGAAUAUUUUGUGCAUGGAAUAAUGAAAUAAGACCUCUGUUCUACUUUCAUUGGUUUUUAGAUCAAGAGG
rnacentral:rRNA from 1 species